CCUACGGGGGGCAGCAGUCGAGAAUCAUUCACAAUGGGGGAAACCCUGAUGGUGCGACGCCGCGUGGGGGAAUGAAGGUCUUCGGAUUGUAAACCCCUGUCAUGUGGGAGCAAAUUAGAAAGAUAGUACCACAAGAGGAAGAGACGGCUAACUCUGUGCCAGCAGCCGCGGUAAUACAGAGGUCUCAAGCGUUGUUCGGAAUCACUGGGCGUAAAGCGUGCGUAGGCUGUUUCGUAAGUCGUGUGUGAAAGGCGCGGGCUCAACCCGCGGACGGCACAUGAUACUGCGAGACUAGAGUGAUGGAGGGGGAACCGGAAUUCUCGGUGUAGCAGUGAAAUGCGUAGAUAUCGAGAGGAACACUCGUGGCGAAGGCGGGUUCCUGGACAUUAACUGACGCUGAGGCACGAAGGCCAGGGGAGCGAAAGGGAUUAGAUACCCCAGUAGUC
rnacentral:rRNA from 1 species